rnacentral:rRNA from 1 species
AACGAACGCUGGCGGCAUGCCUAACACAUGCAAGUCGAACGCCCCGCAAGGGGAGUGGCGAACGGGUGAGUAACGCGUGGGAACCUACCCAGCAGUUGGGGAUAACCGCGGGAAACUGCGGCUAAUACCGAAUACGUCCUAAGGGAGAAAGAUUUAUCGCUGUUGGAGGGGCCCGCGUCGGAUUAGCUAGUUGGUGAGGUAACGGCUCACCAAGGCGACGAUCCGUAGCUGGUCUGAGAGGAUGAUCAGCCACACUGGGACUUAGACACGGCCCAGACUCCUACGGGAGGCGGCAGUGGGGAAUAUUGGACAAUGGGGGCAAGCUUGAUCCAGCCAUGCCGCGUGAGUGAUGAAGGCCCUAGGGUUGUAAAGCUCUUUUGUGCGGGAAGAUAAUGACGGUACCGCAAGAAUAAGCCCCGGCUAACUUCGUGCCAGCCGCCGCGGUAA